GUAAAUUGGUUUAAAAUAUAUGCAUAUUUUAAAGAAUCAUUUUGUUGUAUGUAGAAAACAGACAUAUUAAUUCAAUAUAAAUGACGUGAUGACGUGAAAUAUUGAAAUUGAUUUAAAGUCCAAUAGUUAAACCAUGGCAAAAAUAGCUUUUUACAUAUCAUUGCUAAGUUUUAAUACUUUCGAUUCAUUGAAGUGUGAGAUGGAUUUGACACCUCUGUAAAUGGCAUUUAAGUUCUACAUUCUCACCACUUGAGGUGUCUUGUACUUAAGAUAACACCCAGUAAGAGUUAGGGAUAUCCCAAAUUGCUAGUUUUUAAAUCUUACUAAUGCAGAAACAAGGGAAAAAGCAAAAUUGGCCUGAAUAUUCUCUUGGGGAAAAAGGGCACUAAAGGAAAGGGUAAGUGCAUCAGAUGUCCAAAGAGAGGUAUAAGACCAGUUAGCCAAGCUGCAUCUUGCAGAGAGGUGAGGGGAAAAUGGUUUAGAAACCCCAGAAAAAGAGCCUUCACAGCUUGCUCAACUGUUAGCAAAACCUUUUUUUAUGUAGGACCCAGACCCGUUCUCUUGUCAGUUUUGUAGAUUGUUAAAGAUGCUUUCUUUUGGUCAUCCUUGUUCAGGUACACAUGACCAUGUCUAUAGCCCUUCAUUUGCUGGAUUUGUCUUCGUAGGUCUGUCUAGCAUUGAUAAGGUGACAUGCAGAGAAGCCCUUUUCUUACCCAGUUUUACAGUCUAGCAAACAAGGAAGCCCUCUUUGGGACUGUGUUUGUCACCAAACUUUUAAAUCCUUUACUUAGCUUCCCGUGUUCCACAAAAUAACUUAGACAUUUUGGAUAAUGCUGUUUAUUUGGAGGUAGGAGGAUUCCAUUCUGUGGCUGAGGUAUGUUGUUCCCAUAUAGGCUUUUUUAUAUCUACCUAAACUGAGGGAACCAUCCCGAUAUAUUUUGGGCUUUGCAAUACUGUUUUAAAAUAGAUUAAUAAUGAAGCUCUGCAUAGAGGGACUUGUCAGAAUUGGGAUGGGAGCAGGGAGCUGCCUAACUUUUAUUUCUUGUUCCUAGUUAGGGACAUGACCUGACUCUUCAGUCUGGUAUAAAGCAUUGGUCUAAAGAGAGCUGUUCUUAUAUUCCUUGGUCUUGAUUAUCAGUUAAAAAAAUCAGUCAUGUCUCUACAGAUGAAUCUUUGUGAGAUAUCUUUGUAUCCAUAUCCCAACCUCUUUGUAGUUUAUAAUGACCCUUUAAGUAAUUAAAGGAAACAAAACAAGUGGAUUUUACAGAGCCUUUGUGUCCCACUCUUUUAUCCCAGUCCGCAGCCUUUCUGUCAAAGCAGAUUUUUAAAAAUGUUUUCCAUUAGAGCUUUACACUUUGCAAAAGUGUUUUAUAUACAUUUUCUAAUUUCAUAAACAAUAAAAUUAAUUUAGGUUUUAUUUUGCUAAUGGGGAGUUUUUUUCCUUAUGAUUAGUAUAUCUUGAAGAAUCUUGCUAUAACCCAGUGGUAUUUCAUGUUUUAAAGACUUCUGUGAAAUUAUUAGUUGACUCACAAUACAAGAUAUGAUACAGAGUAGGAAAAAACCCUGCUAUAGUCAUAAUUGCUGGCUUAAAAAUAGACUUUAGAACUAAAUGGUUGAUUAUAAGAUUUACAUGGAAGAGCAAAGAAGGAAAAUUAUAUUUUUAAAGAAAGAGAAUAUUCAGGCUUUAUUUCUGGUAUGAAAUUUAUAUUUUUAAAAAAGAUCCUAUAUUAUCACACCAGAGAUUUUAGAUUCUUUUCUGGUUACAAACAUUGCUGGUAGUUGGAUUAUAUUUUUAUUGUAUUCAUUUCUCUUAGGGGGAAAAUUGUAAAGAAACAAAAAAGGUUCCAGAUGAAUG
ensembl:lncRNA